AGAUGAUAGUUGUAGCUCCUGAGGUCACUUGUCAUGUUGAGAAUAGAAGAACAAAGAGAGAAGGAACUUAUGACAGUAUGGAUCCACCAUAGUCUUCCUCACAGAUGGAGAAGAUCUCUUCCACCAAAAUCAUCAAUGGAAGAUCCAAAGUUUCAGAUUGGAUUAGCUUUCAGCAUAUCAUCAGCUCUAAACUAUCAAUGUCAGAAGGAAGAUGGAAUUCUCUUGAUUAACAUGAGCUAAUUCUACCUCUAGAGCUAGAGAUAUAUUCAAUUUUAUAUAAAUCGUAUGUCUGCUCUUCUGGAAGAAAGGGUUAAACAAAUCAUUGAGGACCACCAGAAUGAUCACUGUCAAAGAAAAUAAAGCAAUAUUUCUAAAGUGCA